rnacentral:rRNA from 1 species
UACGUAGGGUGCAAGCGUUAAUCGGAAUUACUGGGCGUAAAGCGUGCGCAGGCGGUGAUGUAAGACAGUUGUGAAAUCCCCGGGCUCAACCUGGGAACUGCAUCUGUGACUGCAUCGCUGGAGUGCGGCAGAGGGGGAUGGAAUUCCGCGUGUAGCAGUGGAAAUGCGUAGAUAUGCGGAGGAACACCGAUGGCGAAGGCAAUCCCCUGGGCCUGCACUGACGCUCAUGCACGAAAGCGUGGGGAGCAACAGG